GAUGAACGCUGGCGGCGUGCCUAAUACAUGCAAGUCGAGCGAACAGACGAGGAGCUUGCUCCUCUGACGUUAGCGGCGGACGGGUGAGUAACACGUGGAUAACCUACCUAUAAGACUGGGAUAACUUCGGGAAACCGGAGCUAAUACCGGAUAAUAUAUUGAACCGCAUGGUUCAAUAGUGAAAGACGGUUUUGCUGUCACUUAUAGAUGGAUCCGCGCCGCAUUAGCUAGUUGGUAAGGUAACGGCUUACCAAGGCAACGAUGCGUAGCCGACCUGAGAGGGUGAUCCGCCACACUGGAACUGAGAAACGGUCCAGACUCCUACGGGAGGCAGGAGUAGGGAAUCUUCCGGAAUGGGCGAAAGCCUGACGGUGGAACGCCGCGUGAGUGAUGAAGGUCUUCGGAUCGUAAAACUCUGUUAUUAGGGAAGAACAAAUGUGUAAGUAACUAUGCACGUCUUGACGGUACCUAAUCAGAAAGCCACGGCUAACUACGUG
rnacentral:rRNA from 1 species